AACGAACGCUGGCGGCAGGCUUAACACAUGCAAGUCGAACGCAUCGCAAGAUGAGUGGCAGACGGGUGAGUAACACGUGGGAACAUACCCUUUGGUGCGGAACAACAGCUGGAAACGGCUGCUAAUACCGCAUGCGCCCUACGGGGGAAAGAUUUAUCGCCGAAGGAUUGGCCCGCGUCUGAUUAGCUAGUUGGUGAGGUAAUGGCUCACCAAGGCGACGAUCAGUAGCUGGUCUGAGAGGAUGAUCAGCCACACUGGGACUGAGACACGGCCCAGACUCCUACGGGAGGCAGCAGUGGGGAAUAUUGGACAAUGGGCGCAAGCCUGAUCCAGCCAUGCCGCGUGAGUGAUGAAGGCCCUAGGGUUGUAAAGCUCUUUCAGCGAGGAGGAUAAUGACGUUACUCGCAGAAGAAGCCCCGGCUAACUUCGUGCCAGCAGCCGCGGUAAGUCACUAUCGA
rnacentral:rRNA from 1 species